CAAUAAUGAGAAAUGUCCCUUAGGAGCCUGAAGAUCCCAGGCUGUGAAUACAUGGGGCCGAGGGUCACAGGGAGUGCAUGGAUCCUGCAAAGCAGCAAGUGCAAAUGAAAGGGCAGGGUGCAGGAUGCAGGGGGUGUUCAAAUGAAAAAGAUGGGGUGAGAGAGGUGAUGAUGAUAGUGGUGGUAGUGUUUUUGGUGCUUCUGAGCUCAUCAAUUGCAGCAGAAAAGUCCAGAAAUAUAAGGCCAGGGAGAAAAAAAUAUAAGAUGGGGGAGGAAGAAGUCAUUAGAAACCUUAAGUGUGCUAUAAGGGCAACUUUGUUUAAGUUAAGUAUUGACAUUGUAUUUACUUAGUGAUUUAAAAAAAUUAACAUUUUUGCUGUUUUUCUGGGUUGGGAGACAUUGAUGGCUCUAUAAAUGUUGAGUUGAAGCGCCCACUUGGCGCUCUCCCUGGUGCUGGAUUUGCAUAGUGCAUUCCUUGUCUUGGGGGUGUUGUGGAAACCAUCCCUUUCUCUCUGUUCAUCUCCCUUUAGGUGCUAGCCAGGAAGUAAAUUUUGCCAAAUAAAGUCACCUUUACGUGACUUGUGCUUCUUCUCCACCCAGCAUCUCUUAGGCUGAUGUUUGCAGUGAGUGUAGAAGAGAGACAGUAGUCCUUUCCAGGAGUAAAACUCUCUCCCUACAUUUUUCCAAACUAAAUCAUGUUAACAGUGGCUUUCGUGGCUUUCAGGGGGUGGUGAGUUUAUGGGGAAUCCUUAUUUUAUUUACAUUUCCCAACUACUACUUCCAUAGUUAAAUUUGUCUUUUUUGAAGAAAGAAAAGUACAUUGAAGGUGAUUGGAGUUCUCACUCGUAGAAAGUCUUGUAAGAGAAUCCUCAUAAGCCAUGACAUUCUCAGUGACAUGGCAAUGCCUCUGAGUCUCUUUUAGGAGAAGAUUCACAGCAUAAUAUUCAGGUUUUUAAAAUUUAUUUUUUAAAAAGAUACAUGAGUAUAAACUCUGUAAGGUCAGCUUUAGGAUUGUAAUUGAAAACAGUUUACUACUCCCAAGUGACUGCUUCUCUUCCUUUCAAUGUAGGACAUCACUCAUGAGUAUCAACUCUUCAGUGCAUUACAGGAAAAUGUGGUUUUGGAAAAUUCCUGAGAAAAGAACUAUAAGGGCAUGUCCUAUGUCAUAUGUCUAAGAAAAACUUAGCUAGCAGGGAUAAAUGGAGAACAUAGUCAUAUGGUUAAGAUGUCUCAAAACCAAAGCUGGACACUAUGAGCUUCACGCAUGAAGCACCAGGUAUUACUCACUGCCCUCCACUGCUCUCUUCACACCUCCAUGCUCUGAGCCAGUUGACAACAUUCCCUUUGUCCCCACAUACUUUCUGCUGGACUGCUGUUGGGCUUUCCAUUCAUGCAUCCAACUUUUAUUGAACCCCUAGCAUGUGCCUUUUACUGCAUCUUUGCUCUGAGAUGACAGAAAUGGACAUGACAGAUCCUUUCCCUAAAGAGACAUGAGCCUAGAGGAGAGGCAGCUGUGCUAAGGUGAUAGUAAAACAGAUGAGUGCUGACACAAAGGCUCAUACAGGGUGUUAGGGAGCCCAGAGAGCUAAUUUUGCUUGGCACAGGAGGGCAGAGAAUAAAUAAGGGGGGGGGGAGUUACAAAGGAGGAGACACUUGCACUAAUUCAUCAGGUACACUGGGGAGGGGGCAAUGACAGAGGAUCUGGGGAUAGAGACCCAGAGAGGAGAGCCAGGAGUCCACAUCAAGAGAAGGGCUCAGGAAUGACAAAGUGAUUUAUCUGGGACUUAUUCUGGCAAACUGUUAAGUGGAAGACUGAACCCAAUGGACCAAGAACCUGAGGGGGUAGAUGUAAUGGGUGGAAUUCUAAGAUAAUCUCCACCCCCUGUAGAAUUCUCUCCCCAUGAGAGUGAAAAGGAUUUGUGAAGAUCUAAUUUCACACCUGUGACUAUGUUACUUUAUAUAGUAAAAGGGGUUUUGUAGGUAUAAUCAAGGUCCCUAAUCAGUUGACUUUGAGUUAAUUAAAAAGGGAGAUUAUCCUGGGCCUGAAAUAAGCAGGUGAAGUCUUUAAAAGGGUGCAGGCCUUCCCAGAAGUCAGAGUGAUUCCAAGCAGAAGAGAGGCUUUCCUAUUGGCCUUGAAGAAGCAAUCUGCCAUGCUGUAGAGAGAACCACAUGGCAGGGAACAACAUGUGGCCUCUAGGAGCUGCAAGUGAAUUAAACAAGCAGUGAGCUUGGAAGAGAACUCUAAGCCUCAAGUAACAUUCCAGCCCUGGCCAACACCUUGAUUCCAUCCUGAGGAAUGCCCAGGUGAGUGAUGUCAGCUGCAGCUCUGUGACUUCCCCUGCCCGACAAGAGACGGGUGGAAAGUAGAGAAUCCAGAGAUGAUGUUUAUACCCCAAUGAGACAUCAAAAAUGUGUUUCAUUCAAAGGACCCUGAGAAAAAUCACAUCGCCCUUUGAGUCUGUCUCCCUGUCUGCCAUAUAGGAAUCACAAAACUAAUCACAAAGGCUUGCUGGACUGUCAUGAGGAUGAUUCAACCCACUGGCAUUACUUUGAUGUAGAAAGAGAAGACUGAAGGUUUUUGAACUGCAUGCUAGCAGGAAUGCAGCUGACAACAUAGUGACCGAGAUCUGCUCCCAGGGGUUCUGGAUGAGCAGGGAGAUCCACAGAAUUCAAGGCCUUCAGAAGUUGAAUGGGCCACUCAUCAGGGAGGAUCUGUGAAAAGCCUUGAUGGAAUCUAGAAACUCAAAUUCUCGUCCUGGCUCCUUCAUCAACUCCAUGCCCAUAGGCAAAUCACAGCCUCUGGAGUUCGGUUUCCUCAUUGGUAAAAUGCAGUAAAGAGAAGGACUCAUAAUUUAUCUUCAUUCACAGCUCUGAGUUAUCCUUCUAUUAAUAAACAUGUCACCACAUUCCCACCAGAGGUGAAGAAGAAUUUGGCUGUUUCCAAUCUAAAUAUCAGGAUACCCAUAUCAUUACAAAUGAGGAAACACCCUAAGAUGUGGCCUGCAGAGCUGAAGGCGACAGAUGGAUCCUUGUCCCCUCUGUAUUCUCUGCCCAACUACAGGAGGCCAAGUACUUUGCCAGGUUUUGCCCUGGGUCAUCACCGGUCCACCCCAUUCUUGUAUAACCUCCCUUCCUGUUGGCAAAACACUCUUCCUUGCCAAGCUCAGCCUAAGACUCUCACCCCACACCCUCUUCCUAAUCAGGCCAAAGAUAGAAUGUGUUUCCCUUAUUUUAACUAGAUUUAUUAGGCUUAGCCUAAGUCUAGCAGAUUUUAAUAGUUAUUAGUAAAACAUUCUUCCAUUUCCUUAUAAAUACUAUAAUCAAUGUUCCUAUUCUCAAAUGCACCACUUAAAGUAUCUAAAAUCAGAUAUGGAAGAGUAAUUUCAAUUUGUUCAUAACAAAGUUUUCUGAAGAUAUAAGCAGAUUUUGUCAGAUUCAGCAGCACAAUUCUUACAAACAUGCUCAUGCAUUGUUGUGUGGGCAAACUAUCACCAGAGCUUGUCAUUACAAACCUUGUAGACAUUCUUAUCAUUGGUUCUUAUACAAUCCUUAUGAUCUGUUAUUGUCACCCAAAAGUGAUGGCCAGUUAAGUGGUUGGAUUCCCAUGAUUACCAAAGGCUCACUGCUUCCUGGACUGCAACAUUCUCAUUAAAAUUAUGCCCUAGAUGUUUCAUAUAUGGCAACACAUUAUAUGGCCCCCCAGGAAGCAUAAGCAGUUGGUGGACAUGAAAGGACCUUGAAACCCUGUAUAACAUAGUACAUAUGCCAGCUGUCCUUUAACAUAGUAACAGAUGGUGGCCAAAGUCCAGCUGGGCUCCAGGCCCAGCUCUACCUCUUAAUAGUUGUGUGAUCUCUACUAAGUCAUUUACACACUCUGAACCUCAGGCUUUUCAUCUGUAAAAUACAAACGAUAGCAAUAUUUGCUCUACCAUGAGGUUCAAAUGAGAUCAUGGACGGGAAAUCCCUUACAGGUCAUGAAGCAACACUCAUACAUUAGCCAUUUUAUCACAUACAUUGACUUUUAAUCGUCACAACACUGGGAGAUGUCAUUUUCCCCUUUUACAGAUGUAGAGAGUCAAGUGAGUAAGCAUGGUGGACCUGAGGUCCACACCUGGGUCUCCCUGUCUGAUGCUCUUUCCUCUUUGGGAGAAGGCAUACUCCAUGGCACCAUCCCUGCUCAUGGCUAUGUCAUACAAAGAGCACAUUUAGGUGUUGUCCUUAAGCAUGGCAGCAAAUUAGUCCUCCAGAGCCACACAAAAGGGAGAGACCAAGGGAAGGCAGCCAAGACCCUGAGGCCUGUACUGUCCCUGAACCCUACUCCCAGCCCCAGCUGCUUGACUUUCCCCAACACAAGUGUGUUAGCCAAGUACCUGUGGAGCACCUACUUCCACCUCAGCCCCGGAGAAAGCAUAUGGGAUUCAAUUGGCACUGUCUUGAGGAGGCGUGUCAUCUGGCCAAGGCAGAAACUCAGAGACACAGUAAGCAACAGUUGAACAUAAAACAGUAUGUGUUCAGGUGUCAGGUGAGUAAUAAGGAAAGAGGGAGAUUCCUAGAUGCUCCACUUGGGAACACUAGAAAUUCUUGAAGCUCUCUGUGGCCCCAACAAACCCUAAAAAUACUUCAGUUUGGGGAGACAUGGAAUCUACAUCAUCUCCCCUCUUUCCUCAACCCCACUCUUGAGGUUCCUUUCAGCUCUACCCCUUCCUGUCCCCAAAACUGUCUCCCUCCCUGGCCUCUAGGCUCCACAAGGUCAAGAGAGCAGAUGUUUCCAUUGCCAUGUGCUGCAGACACAUUCCAGAGUCAAUCCUCAAUGAACGUCUACUGAACUAAGCAGAUGUAGGCAGAGCACACGGACAACAACAGGGACACAAGGCCCAUGAAGAAUUAUGCAGACAGGCUGGACUCUAUCCUGGAAAGGGGGAGGCCUAGGCCCUCAUGGAGGAGCCAAAGGGAGAGAACCCCAUCAAUACACUAUGAACUAAAUGGAGAGAAGUGCUAUUUAGAAAAAAACCUGAUGAAUAAAAUUCCUGAGAGCAGCAACUGUCA